CGCCUCCCUCUCUGCCUCGCUUCUUGGAGUGGAGAAGAGGCGGGUCCGCGAGGAGCGCGGAGCCAAUUAGCUGGGCGGCGCUCUGAGACUCGGUGGUGUCAUCUCUCCGGGAGAACCCCGUUAGACCAGCCUCGGUUCCCAUCACUUUAGGGGUCCUUGGGGGUGAGCCUCUUGAUUCCUGCACCCGCGGUUCCACGCUGCUCUUGGGGUUACGCUCGGCUCUGCACCGGCCCGGGACAGCCCUGCUCAGACUGGAAUAUCCCCCAGCGCCUUCCGAGAAGCGCUCACCAGGGUCCAGGUCUGGGCUUUGGUGCCAGGAAGAUUCAGGUCCUGAUUAACCAGCCCCUGUGUCCAGCAGGGCCCACCUGGCCUGGAGUUUAGCCUAGCAUGGAGGUCUGACGUCACCAACCCAGGGCUCUGCUUUGCAGACAAAGCCUGGAUUAAGGUUGUCCUCAGCCGGAGGGACUGGAGGGAGGUGGCCCGCAGGGAUGGUGGGGACUGGCAAGUCCGGUCUUCCGGGCAGGCCUGCAGCUGCAGAGAAGCACUGGAAGCUGGGAGCCUGGUUGGCAGGAUUCCUUCUUGUCCCUGCAGAGCCCAGGGUCUGUUUUCCUCGGGCCUUUGGCUGACCAGGUAAAGCCCAUCCACAUUCUACACCGUAAUCUGCUUUACUCAAGUCCACUGAUGAAAAUGAUAAGAUCAUUGAGAGAA